rnacentral:rRNA from 1 species
AGAGUUUGAUCCUGGCUCAGGAUGAACGCUGGCGGCGUGCUUAACACAUGCAAGUCGAACGAAGCACUUUAUUUGAUUUCCUUCGGGACUGAUUAUUUUGUGACUGAGUGGCGGACGGGUGAGUAACGCGUGGGUAACCUGCCUUGUACAGGGGGAUAACAGUUGGAAACGGCUGCUAAUACCGCAUAAGCGCACGGCAUCGCAUGAUGCAGUGUGAAAAACUCCGGUGGUAUAAGAUGGACCCGCGUUGGAUUAGCUAGUUGGUGAGGUAACGGCCCACCAAGGCGACGAUCCAUAGCCGACCUGAGAGGGUGACCGGCCACAUUGGGACUGAGACACGGCCCAUACUCCUACGGGAGGCUGCAGUGGGGAAUAUUGCACAAUGGGCGCAAGCCUGAUGCAGCGACGCCGCGUGAGGGAUGGAGGCCUUCGGGUUGUAAAGCUCUGUCUUUGGGGACGAUAAUGACGGUACCCAAGGAGGAAGCCACGGCUAACUACGUGCCAGCAGCCGCGGUAAUACGUAGGUGGCAAGCGUUGUCCGGAAUUAUUGGGCGUAAAGCGCGCGCAGGCGGAUAGGUCAGUCUGUCUUAAAAGUUCGGGGCUUAACCCCGUGAUGGGAUGGAAACUGCCAAUCUAGAGUAUCGGAGAGGAAAGUGGAAUUCCUAGUGUAGCGGUGAAAUGCGUAGAUAUUAGGAAGAACACCAGUGGCGAAGGCGGCUGUCUGGUCUGUAACUGACGCUGAGGCUCGAAAGCAUGGGUAGCGAACAGGAUUAGAUACCCUGGUAGUCCAUGCCGUAAACGAUGAAUGCUAGGUGUUGGAGGGUUUCCGCCCUCAGUGCCGCAGCUAACGCAUUAAGCAUUCCGCCUGGGGAGUACGGUCGCAAGGUUGAAACUCAAAGGAAUUGACGGGGGCCCGCACAAGCGGUGGAGCAUGUGGUUUAAUUCGAAGCAACGCGAAGAACCUUACCAGGUCUUGACAUCCGCCUGACCGAUCCUUAACCGGAUCUUUCCUUCGGGACAGGCGAGACAGGUGGUGCAUGGUUGUCGUCAGCUCGUGCCGUGAGAUGUUGGGUUAAGUCCCGCAACGAGCGCAACCCCUAUCCUCAGUAGCCAGCAUUUAAGGUGGGCACUCUGGGGAGACUGCCAGGGAUAACCUGGAGGAAGGCGGGGAUGACGUCAAAUCAUCAUGCCCCUUAUGAUUUGGGCUACACACGUGCUACAAUGGCGUAAACAAAGGGAAGCGAGAUCGUGAGAUGGAGCAAAUCCCAAAAAUAACGUCCCAGUUCGGACUGUAGUCUGCAACCCGACUACACGAAGCUGGAAUCGCUAGUAAUCGCAGAUCAGAAUGCUGCGGUGAAUACGUUCCCGGGUCUUGCACUCACCGCCCGUCA